rnacentral:rRNA from 1 species
UACGUAGGGUGCGAGCGUUGUCCGGAAUUACUGGGCGUAAAGAGCUCGUAGGUGGUUUGUCGCGUUGUUCGUGAAAACUCACAGCUCAACUGUGGGCGUGCGGGCGAUACGGGCAGACUGGAGUACUGCAGGGGAGACUGGAAGUCCUGGUGUAGCGGUGGAAUGCGCAGAGUAUCAGGAGGAACACCGGUGGCGAAGGCGGGUCUCUGGGCAGUAACUGACGCUGGAGGAGCGAAAGCCGUGGGGAGCGAACAGG